rnacentral:lncRNA from 1 species
UAGCAAGAGAGUUCCGAAGCUGCUGUAAACGAGCACCACUCUUCACCGAAAAACGCUUUUUAAUGAUAUCUCACAGAUCUUUCGCGACCUCACGAGUGGAGAUGGAGGAGCGAAGCCUGGGUUCGAUCGUCAACUUGAUCCAACCGACGAGCAGAUGAUUGUUUGCUGUCCAAUCCUCGAGAGUUGCAUCACCAUCCUUUGGUUUCGGAAUACUCCCAUCCAAAAAACCAAACUUCUUUCUGGAGCUCAGCGCCAUUCGCAGAUUACGAGCCCACUCAUCGUAAUUCAAACCGUUGAGAAGCGGCUGUGAAAUUACAGCACCAGGGUUAUCC